rnacentral:rRNA from 1 species
CCCUGUUAUUCUAUUAUAAUAUAAUAUUUCAAAGAAAAAAAACAUAAUAAAUCUGACGGUAUUAACUUUUACAAAGGAAUUUGUUUCUAAAUCGAAAACACACGUGAAACCUUACUUAAUUUAAUAUUUGUAUACCACCGUAAUAGAAAUUAUUUAAAAUUAAUUUCACUAUAAAAAAUUUUACAACAUCAGGUCAAGGUGCAAUUUAAUUAAGAUGAAAUGAAUUACAUUUUAAAAUAAAUAUAUAAGAAAUGAAACUCUCUUAAAAAAAGAAUUUGUUAGUAAAAUUUUAUAAUAAUGUUUUUUUGAAAAUUUACAUUAAUAUGUACAUAUCGCCCG